GUGUGUGUGUGUGUGUUUUAGUUAAUGCUUCUGGAGUGCAGAAGUUUUUAUGCCAAAUAUAGUGUGUGACAUAAGUGAAUAGAAUGGCAUGCUAAAUGUUGAUUGCCUUGAUGGAAAGGGAGAAUAAGUUUGUACCUUAGUUCGGUAUUACCAAGUCACAAAUACCAAGGACUGGAAGAGAUCACUGUGGUUGUUUCAGCCUAAUCAUGUGGAAUAGGAAAUUGAAGCCUGCAAAUGUCUAAGUCACAUGUCAAAAUUAUACAACUGGUUAGAUGAACAGCCAGGUCUUAAAUCUGGCUUCCUAAUUCUUAACUGUAGCUCCCUUUCUCUAUGCCAUGGUGCGUUUUAUAUUCAUGAAAAAAUUAGAAGUUGUGUAGCUAUUCUUGUUUUUAUUUUGAUACUUGGUUUUUGUCCCAAGAUAACUUGAGUUCUGUGAUUUAUAAAGUCUGAGGUUUUUGUUUUUCAUGUACAUAUGCCUAAAUACCGUAAAUGUGGAAGUUAAGUUUUUUCCUUGAGGGCAUUUUUAAUGUAGUAGGUAGAGGGAUUUGAAAAUUAUUUUGCCAUAUAAUUAUUUUGAUAUAAUUCUUUCGGAAUUAAUGUAUUCACUUGUGUUUCUUAAUUAUGCAUGAUGGUUUAUAAAUAAAUAAAUUUGACAGUCUUUUGCUAACAUAGGUAUAGUACUUUUUAUAAUCAGCUAAUGCUUUAAAACAUUUACACGUAGUUUGCAUUUUUGCAUAUUUCAGAUAUUUCCUUAACCUAAGUACUCAGAUAUUUAUCCAAACAUUAUUGCUAUGGGGUUUCCUGCAGAAAGACUUGAAGGCGUAUACAGGAACAAUAUUGAUGAUGUAGUAAGCUUUCAGGGUCAUGUAGGAGGGAUUAGGAAUAUACAUGACGUCCAGCUUCUCAGGAUGGAAGAAUUAAUGAUGGAAGAUGGAGGUACAGUGUGUCACGUUUGCGUUCAGCAUAGAGUUCUGUAUCCAGCCGAGCCACCAGCCGAAGUGCGAGAGGAAGAAAGAAAGCCAUUCGAGAAGAGCAGCAAAAACUUGUAUCCAUGCAACAUUUCUUAGAAAAUUAUUAGACAGUGUGUUCUAACAAAACAAGAGAAUAAGCCAUGAAAGAAGAGAAAGGGGCUUUGGUAAAUUGAGGCUCCAACUCCGAAGCAGCAGAGGAAAGCCCAGGGAUGACACCUGUGCCAUCGGCUGAAGAGCAGCUAGUUCUGGGUGAGCAGUAUGACAGAGGGCAUCAAAGAAGAAAAUAAGAAGUAGAACUGAUAGAUGGAUACUGAAAUGUUUUGGGAAAACGUGAUAGAUUCUUACAAAUAUAGGUGAAUUAGGUUAGGAAGCAAAUGUUAACAUCUGCCGAUUGGCUUCUUAACCACAAAUUGUCAUAUUGCCGUUGAAGGUAGGGAUUCGGAGAAGUGAAAUGUGGAGGUGCUUCUGGUUUUGUAAGCUUCAUCUACCAUGGCAGAAGAUAGGCAGGUAAUUGAUAAACCUGUAGGAAGCAGUGGUAUGUAUAUUAUAGAGAAAUGCCAAAUUAAAUACCAGCAAAAAGGAUAUGAUAGUUGAGGAUGGUUACGUUUGGAGAAGACCCAGGAACAGAUGAAUGAAUAGAGCUGGAGAUGAAUUUUUUUUUUUAUUGUGGUAAAAUUUUAUAUACACAUAUAUAUAUCUAUAAAAUAUGUGCAAUACAAUUUACCAUUUUGACCAUUUCUAAGUACACUAGUGGCAUUAGGAACAUUCACAUCGGGCAACCAUCACCAGUACCCAUCUCAGACUUUUUUUUAAUCACCACACUGAAACCGUGUACCUGUUAAGUAGGAACUCCCCAGUGCCCCUACUCUCAGCCUGGCAACACUGUUCUACUUUCUGUCUUUGGUAUUUAUUCUGGGUACCUUAUGUUAAGUGGAGUCAGGCAAUAUUUGUCUUUUUGUGACUGACUUAGUGUGACAUAGCAUGUGACUUCACUUAGCAUAACGUCUUCAGGGUUCAUUCCUGUUCUGGCCUGCGUCAGGAUUCUCUUCCAUUAUAUGUAUAUACCACAUUCUGUUUAUCUGUUCAUCCACUGAUGGACAUUUGGGUUGCUUCUGCCUUUUGACUAUUGUAAAUAAUGCUGGUGUGAACACAGGUGUACCAGUAUCUGUUCAAGUCCCUGCUUUCAGUUCGUUUGGUUGUACACCCAGAAAUGGAAUGGCUGGGCCAAAUGGUAAUUCUGUGUGUAAUUUUUUUGAGAAACUGCCGUAUUGUUUUCUACAGUGGCUGUAUCAUUUUUCAUUCCUACCAGCAAGUGUAAGUGUUCCAAUUUCUCUACAUCCUCAACAUUUACUAUUUUCUGGGCUUUAAAAAAAAAAUUUUUUUUUUAAGAGCCACCUUAAUGGGUGUGAAGUACUAUCUCAUUGUGGAUUUUUUUUCUUCCCUAUCUUUAUCUUUUGUUUAUUUUUUAAUUUUUUUUUUUAAUGUUUAGUUAUUUUUAAGAGAGAGAGAGACAGAUUGUGAGUGGAGGAGGGGCAGAGAAAGGGAGACACAGAAUCUGAAGCAGGUUCCAGGCUCCGAGAUGUCAGCACAGAGCCCGACGCGGGGCGCUAACCUACCAAAUGUGAGAUCAUGACCUGAGCUGAAGUCAGACACUCAACCGACUGAGCCACCCAGGUGCCCCCCCGUCGUUAUUUUAAACUACUGUAACUUGGAGAAAUCACACACCUCAGCUACAGAAGCAGAGACCUGAGAAACUUCCCUUCCCCUUGGUAACUGACCUCUCCUGCAAACCCCUUCUUUCAAAGUCAGAGGGAGGGGAUGAAACAUAAAAGAACCCUUAUUUUAGCUAGAAUCUUUCUGAGAUUUUCCCGUUCUUCUUAGUUUUGGGGUAUGACAGCUGGUAAUUUCUUCAUUUGCUAGGAACCAGAGCUCUGGGAAAUCUAGUUAACCAGGAGGCCUGGUGUUUAAAAAAAUGAAGAAAUGCUAAAAGGAUCUUAGAAACAGAGGUACUUAAAAUGUGCACAUUGAAUGCAUCAAUACUUUCAGCAUAUGCAUGCGUACAAUGGCUAUAUAAUUAUCUUGAGACAACUUCCAAAGUCUAAAUUUGAGGCUUAUGAUCUCCCUUCUUGGAAGGCCUAUUUAAGCAUCUAGUAGAUUGAGUAUUACAUUUUUACCACCUAAUGGGAGGCCUUCCAUCUCCUCCUCCCUCUGUUCCUCUUUUAAAUUUGAGUCUAGGGGCGUCUCGGUGACUCAGUCUGUUGAGUGUCCGACCUCACCUCAGGCCACGAUCUCGCAGUUGACGAGUUCCAGCCCCGCAUCAGGCUCUGUGCUGAUGGCUCGGAGCCUGGAGCCUGCUUCCGAUUCUGUGUCCCCCUCUCUCUCUGCCUCUUCCCCUCUCAUGCUCUGUCUCUCUCUGUCUCAAAAAUAAAGAUAAACAUUAAAAAAUUUUUUCUUUUUCAAUUUGAGCCUAGACAAGUAUAGCACAGGUUCCAGAAAAUGUCCAGUGGUUUUUGAUCUUUGGGGAAUGCAAUUUUGUGUAUAUUUGCUAAGUGAUAUAUUUUUUUAAAGGAGGCAUAUAGUUAACAUAUGUGUUAUAUUAGUUUCAGGUGUACAACAUAGAGACUGGACAAUUCUGUGCCUUAUGUUAUGCUCACCACAAGUGGAACUACUGUCUGUCACCACACGGCACUGUUACACUGCCAUUGACUCUGUUCGCCAUGCUGUACCUUUUCACCCCUGGCUCAUUCCAUAACUGGAAGCCCAUAUCUCCCACUUGCCUUUACCCGUUUUGUCCAUACCCCUACCCGCUUCCCUCUAGCAACUAUCAGUUUGUUCUCUGUAUUUACAGGUCUGUUUCCGCUUUUUGUUUGUGUAUUCAUUUGUUUUGUUUUCCAGAUUCUAUAUAUAUGAGUGAAAUCAUAUGGUGUUUGUCUUUCUCUGACUGACGUCUGUAACUUAAUACCGUCUAGGUCCAUCCAUGUUGUCACAAAUGGCAAGAUCUACUUUUUUUAAUGGCUGAGUAAUAUUCCAUUAUGUUUGUGUGUAUGAUGUCUUCUUUAUUCAUUUCUCAGUGGACACUUGGAUAUUAUAAAUAAUGCUGCAGUAAACAUAGGGGUGCAUGUGUCAUUUUGAAUUAAUGUUUUAGUUUUCUUGUGCUAGGUAUCGAGGAGUGGAAUUACUGGAUCAUAUGGUAUUUCUAUUUUUAACUUUUUAAAGAUGUUUAUUUUGAGAGAGAGACAGAGAGAGCACGUGCGUGUGCACAGGGGAGGGGCAGAGAGAGGGAGAGAGAGAAUCCGAAGCAGGCUCCAUGCUCAGUGCGGAGCCCAGUGUGGGCCUUGGUCGGAUGCUUAACCGACUGAGCCACCUAGGGGCCCCCUCUUUUGAAUUUUUUGAAGAACCUCCAUACUGUUUUCCACAGUGGCUGCACUGUGGAAUUCAUAUGCCACAUAUUCCUAUUCCUACCAACAAUGCAUAAGGGUUCCUUUCUCUCCACAUCCUUGCUAGCCCUUGUUUCUUUUGGAUUCUAGACAUUUUGAUGGUUGUAAGGUGAUAUCUUAGUGUGGUUUUGAUUUGCAUUGAACAUCUUUUCAUGUGCUUAUUGACUGAAUAUCUUCUUUGGAGAAAUGUCUAAGUUUUUUGCCUAUUUGUAAAUUGAAUGCUUUAUUUUUUUGUUGUUGAGUUCUAGUAGUUCUUUAUGUAUCCUGGGUAUUAAUCAGGUGAUUUGCAAAUAUUUUCUCCCAUUCUAUGGGUUGCUUUUUUGCUUUGUUGAUAGUGUCCUUUGAUGCAUAAAAUGUUCAGAAGUUUGAUACAGUCCAAUUUAGCUAUCUUUUUGUUGACUGUGUCUUUGGUGACACAUCCAAGAAAUCAUUGCUAAACUGGUAUCCUAAAGCUUUUCUCUCAUGUUUCCUUUUUAAGAGUUUAGAGUGUUAGGCCUUUUUUUAGGUCAUUAAUCCAUUUUGAGUAAUUUUUGUGUAUGGUGUAAAAUAAGGGUCCAACUUAAUGUUUUUACAUGAGGAUAUCCACUUUUCCCAGCACCAUUUGUUGAAAAGACUGUCCUUUUUCUACUGAAUGGUCUUGGCACACUUGUCAAAAAAUUAUUUGACCAUAUAUACAAGAAUUUAUUUCUGGUCUCUGUUCUAGUUCACUGGCAUAUAUGUCUGUUUUUGUGUCAGUACCACACUUUGUAGCUUUGUAGUAAAUUUGAAAUCAGGAAUUGUGAGUCCUACAAUUUUGUUCUUCUAUUUCAGGAUUGUUUUGGCCUUGGAGGGUUCUUUGAGACUCUAUAUGAAUUUGGGGAUGGAAUUUUCUACUUCUGCCCCCCCCCCCAAAAAAAAAAAAGUUUUUGGGAUUUUGAUAGGAAUCACAUUAAUCUGUAGAAUGUGUUGAAAUCUUAACAAUAUCAAGUCCUGAUCUACGAAUGUGGGAUGUCUGUCCAUUUAUUUAGGUCUUUAAUUUUUUUCAACAGUGUUUUGUAGUUUUCUCUGUGUAUCACCUUGAUUAAGUUCAUUUAUAGAUACUCUUUUUCAAUGCUAUUGUAAAUGGAAUUUUCCAUUUUGGACUGUUCAUUGUUAGUGUACAGAAAUGCAACAGAUAUUUGAAUUUGAAUUUUGUAUGCUGUUACUUUACUUAAUUUGUUAAUUCUAACAAUUUUUUGUGGAAUCUUUAAGGUUUCCUACAUAUAAGAACAUGUCAUCUACAAACAGGUAACUUCAUUUCUUCCUUUCCAAUACGGAUGCCUUUUUGGAUAGAAGUGGCAAAAGCAGACUACCUGUCUGUCUUGUUACUGACCUUAGAGGAAAAUUUUUGUCUUUUAUGAUCGCAUAUCAUACUAGUUGGGUGUGGAUUUUUUUUAAUAGAUUUUAUUUUUUAGAGCCACUUUUCAUUCAUAGCUACAUUCAGCAGAAGGUAGAGAAGAUUCCCAUAUCCCGCCUGCCCUCACACAUGUAUAGUCUCCUUCACCAGUUUUUUUUAAGUGUAUUUACUUUGAGAGAGAGAGAGAGACAGCCUGAGUGAAGGAGGGGCAGAGAGAGUGGGAGCACACAUGGAGCCUACUUGGGAAUUCUCUCCCUCCCUCUCUGUCUGCCCCUCCCUUUCUCCCUCCGUCCCUCCCUCCCUCUCUCUGUCUCUCUCUUUCUUUCUCUCUCUCUCUCUCUCUCUCUCUCUCUGUUUCUCUCUCUCUCUCUCUCUCUCUCUCUCUCUCUCUAAAUAAACAUUAAAACAUUUUUUGUCCAGGGGCACCUGAGUGGCUCAGUUGGUUGAGCGUCUGACUUCCGCUCAGGUCAUGAUCUCAUGGUUUGUGGGUUCGAGUCCCACAUCGGGCUCUGUGCUGACAGCUCAGAGCCUGGAGUCUGCUUUGGAUUCUGUGUCUCCCUCUCUCUAUGCCCCUUCCCACUUGCGCUCUGUCUGUGUCUCUCUCUCAAAAAUAAAUAAACAUUAAAAAAAUUAAAAAAAAUUUUUUUUGUCCAAAACCACAGGAUGCAUACCAAGAGUGAACCCUAAUGUAAAUCAUGGACUUUCUGUAUGAUAACGAUGUGUCAGUAUAGAUAAACUAAUUAUAACAAAUACAGUAAAACCUUGGGUUGUGAGUAACUUGUUCUGCGAGUGUUUCACAAGAUGAGCAAACAUUUCUAAUAAAGUUUAACUUGAUAAACGAGCGAUGUCAUGCAAUACGAAUAGUAUGUGAAGCCAAAUGUCACAUGAUCACAACUGAGCCAAUGGUUCUUCUCUCUCUCUCUCUCUCUCUCUCUCUCUCUCUCUCUCUCUGGGAUUGUAGGUGAUGAUUUCCCGUGCUCAGAUGCUCAGUCUCAAGCCGUGGUGUUUGGCAGAAAUCAGUGAUUUUUCAGGAUGUUGGAAGGUGCCCACAACUGGCACUGGUGUAUUUUUGUCACUUCAAAGCACCUGUGGACAGUCCUUUGCUUUUCCCCACAAGAGUGAGCUUAGGAAUGCUUUGCUUCAUUCUAGGUCAGGCUGCCUACAGAUAGAGACCCUUUCCUCUGCUGCCUUAUGCCAGUUACAUGAAAUACAGUCUAUGACAAGAGUUUAUUAAUUCUGCACUGUGGUCAGCAUCCACGUGAGCGUAUACAAUGGCCCCGUGCAGAAAAAGAUUCCUUUGAGUCGAUAGAUAGCAGUGAUUCUGUUGGUGAUAGUGAAAGUUGUCCUACACAAUAACCCUCCUCUCUCCUGUCUCCCUCAAACCAACCAUGAAGGUUAUCAAAGGGAAGUACAGGUUAAUUUAUUUUUCCUUAUGCUUUGUAUUUUCUUUAUUAUUUUGUAUUAUAUUACAGUAUUGUAAUCAUUUUUAUAUGAAUGUUUUUGGGUUGUGGAACAAUCAUCUGAGUUUCCUUUAUUUCUUAUGGGGAAAUUUGCUUUGAUAUACAAGUACUUUGGAUUAGAAGUGUGUUUUUGGAAUGAGUUAUGCUCGCAAACCAGGGUUUUACCAUAUACCACUCUGGUAGAGGGCAUUAAUAAUGAAGGAGAGCCCAACAUGGGGCUCAGUCCCAUGAACCGUAAGAUCAUUACCUGAGAUGAAAUCAAGAGUCAGACUCUCAACCGACUGGGCUGCCCAAGCGCCCCUGGGUUUGGACACAUUUUAAUGACGUGUCCAUCAUUAUAGUAAUAUACAGAGUACUUUCAUUGCUCUAAAAGUAGUCUGUAUUCUGCCAAUUCAUCCCUCUCCAUCCUCCCUGCCCCCUGGCCUCUGGCAAAUGCUGAUAUUUUUACUGUCUUCAUACUUUUGACUUUUCUAGAAUGACAUAUAGGUGAAAUCAUCCAGUAUGUGCAUAUAGAAACUCUCCUACUAUGCAAUAUGGCAGUAUAUGAAAAACCCACAACAUGCACAAUGGUAUGGCCAUUUUGGAAGAUGGUAGUUUCUUACAAAACUAAACAUACUCCAUAAAAUCAAGCAAAUGCAUCCCUAUGAGUAGUUACUCAAAAGAGUUGAAAACUUGCAUUCACACAAACAUGGGUGUCAUGUCUUAAAUGCCUGACUCCCAAAAGAGGAAAAAGGGGGAUAAAAGGAGGAAAAAAAAAAAAAAGCCUCUGGAUCUUUAAAUCCCCUGGAAGCCUUUUCCAUCAGUGGGGAUUUCAGCCGGGGUGGCCUGCUUCUGUGUCUGCAUGUCUGUUAUCAUAAGCAGAAGUCAAUGAUAAGAACACAGAUCUCUGAUAUUUGGAGGACAAGGUCCCAUGAGCUGGUGCAGGCUGUGCUAGGAGUAUGUACAUGGCUGCCUGCUGGGAGGUGAGGGGCACUGGGGGUGAAUAGCUGCUGCCAUACUGAGUUGAAACGGGCUGAAAUUAACUAUGAUUUACGGUCUAAGCCUUCGUCUGGACGAUGCAAGCUUUUGACUAGACUCCAGGGUUCCAAAAUAGUUACAUCAGUCCGAUUAUGCCAGUAGAGUACUUGUCUAGGUGGGGAGAUGGGUUUCCUGGGGUUCCUAUUCUGCCAUCUUCCCUCAACUAGUUUUUUAUUACAUGUUUUUGUCUGUCUUUUGAAAUACAUGUUUAUAUAUUAUUUUGACAAAAAUAGUUUUAAAAUGCACUUUGGCAGCUUACUUAGGACUAUUUCAUAGGAAUUCUUUGAGGAAAGAAAAGACUUCUAAAAAAGACAAAGACUGUUUAUUCUCACAGCUGUCUUUAGUGAAUUCAGAUUUUUAUAUAUUGAAAUUAUUUGAAGUAAGGUAUAGUUGUCUUAGAAAGAUUUAUAUUCUAGAUUUUCCACAUCUUGAGGAUAUUACCUCUUUGCUCUUGUCUAAGUUUUUAACCUACUUUCCAAGUAUCUCCAGUUAAAUUUUCCCAUUUCCCUUUGGAAAGUGCUGUUUUCUUGCUUUUUUUCCGCUUUUCCAUUGUAUCAAAUUUAUAAGGCAAUGAGCCAAUUGUGGGCAUGAAAUCCUUGGGAGGAGAGAGGAGGAAGUGGGAGGGGCAGCCAUGGUGAAUGUUUUCCUAAGUAAUAUUCAAGUUCUUUGAGAGAACUUACCCUCCCCCCUUUUUAAAAAUGCUGUGAUAUUUUCUUUUAAAUAGAUUGUUUAUUCUCCUGCCAGUCUCCCUGUUGCUCAAAUGCUAGAUAAGAAAUUGUAAAGUUCACAUGUUAAAGGGAGCACAAAAAGUAUUUUACCAACCCUCAAUCAAAAAAAAAAAAAAAAAAAAAAAAAAAAAGGAAAAUGCUGUAGAUGAACAGGGUCAGGGUUCUUGGUUGCAUAGGAUGGAAAAUAGCUCUAAAUAACUUAAUCAGAAAAUAAUUACUUGCAAAAUGUUAGAUAGCUCAUAGCUCACGGCUCAGAGCCCUGAGCUGGGAAGAUUGGCAGAAGCCAAGGGAAAUAAGGCAUGUCACCAGGUUACGAUAAGGGCAGUCUCUGCUUAGGAUGCUGACUGCUAUUGGACGCUUGCUGUCCUAGUGCUGUCCCAGUGCUGUCCCAGUGUCCCACACUGCUGCCUUGACUGGAUAUUGGUGACUGUGCUCAUUACCUUUCCACUCUGCUGGAGAUCUCUCUCCAUGACCUGACUCCUCCGCACCCUGCUUUUACCCCUGGGAGUCAGUGUCCAGAGCAGGAGGACCUAACUGGUCUCGGCCUUGCUCCCAUGAGGAGAAAGAUGGGGAAGGGGAGUAUUUAUUUGCUUCUCACCUUUUGAAAUUGUCUCCAAACUGAAAUGGGUUUGGGUGCAGAGCAGCCUCAAAAGGACUAAUACCUCCUACCGAUUUCUCCUGCUUUACACCUCCUGUCUUCAGACUCUGUUUGCAACUAGAACUUGCAGUCAUUCUUUAAAGAAUUGUUUUCAUCUCAGACCUACUUUUUACAAAAAAACAGAUGGGAACAUACUGCAUACUCUUCUGCAUUUUGCUUUUUUUCAUUGAACGUACUUAGGAAUUUUCCAUACUGGCACGGAGGUGAAACAUCUUUUUAUUGGUUGUCCUUUAUUCCAUUUUAUGAUCAUUCCAUCAUAAAUAGUCCCCUCUGAGGGACAUUUAGGUUAUUUCUGGUUUAUCACGAUUGAAAACAGUACUCUAGGAAACAUUUUCACACAUGUAUCUUGCUGUCCUUUUCCAAGUAUUUAAGGUAAAUUCCUAGCAGUGGAGUUGCUGCGACCAGUGGGUCCAUGGAUUAAACUUUCACCCUCAAAAACAGUAUCAUUUUAUAUUCCCACCCACAUGCAUGAGAGUGUUUCCUCCCUCCCACAGCCUUGGCAGACUUUAAACUUAUCAACUUUUUGCAGUUUGUUGUAAUUUGAUUUUUGAUUGCAUUUCUUUAAUUGUGACAUAAAGCCACUUUGUGUUUAUUGGUCAUACGUAAUUUUUUCCUUUGAUCUGUACAUGAGUGCUGACUCCAUCUUCAACUUUUUUAAAAAAAUUUUUUCCUAAAUGAUUUUGAUGAACUCUUCAGAAAAAAGGAAGUUAGUUCUCUUUGUUCAGUUUUAUGGCCCUGCCUCUGCUUGCCUUGAAUUUGAUAACUGCAAGAUUCAGAUGAAGUUAUUAUAGAGCUUGAUGGAUUACUCUAUUUUGAAUUAUUGAUUGCUGACUGCUUUACUAAUAUGUACAAUCAUGAAAUACCAAAGAUUUUUUUUGUUGAUAGUUGUUUGUUAAAGAAUAUUCUUUAAGAAAUCACCUUGCUUAAACAGCAAAUUGACAAUGCUUUUAAUCCAGAAGAAUGUCAUGUAUCCACCACUGUUUGAGUUACUGAAUCAGCUACAUUCUCUUGGACAGAGAUGGUAGAAAUAAAAGGGAACUUAGUGGUUUUUAAACCUUUUUUUUUUUUUUUUUUUUAAGGAGUUCUGCUUUUUCUCUGGUUCUAGUGUCAUAUAGCUGUCUAACCUGUGGCAUGCUGCCUUACUUAAUAUUCUUUUUGAUGCAAACAUUUUCCUCACUCCAAGCCUUUUCUUUUGUUGUUACCAUUUUUAUGUUCUUUUAUAUGUGCUAUUUGUGUUCAUCUAUGAUUAUUCCCUUUUUUUUUUUCCCUGCUUGUUAAACCUUUUAAAUCUGAAUGUUAUGGGUAAAUUUCACUGCAGCUUUGUUGAUUGGUUUUCUGAGAUAAUUUCUGUUAUUUUCUCAUUUGUCUUUUUUAACCUAGUAUCAUUUGUAAUUGUUUAUACAGAAUUUUAGUUUUUAAAGUCUCUCUGUAGUCUUUCCUCUUAGAUUUUGAGUUAUGAAUUCAUAGCCUGUUAUUUAAAUGAAGCUUUUGAAAUCCGUUUUACUGAUCUGUAUCAUAUCUAACUAUGCCAGUAUUUCCUUCCUUGUCUGACGUGAACUCUAAAAUUAUAUGAACACUUUCUCCCUGUUUCCUGGCAUGUCCACUCAAACUUGUUCCUCAUUCUUGGUUGAAAAUGUGUCCAGAGUUGUAGUUUUCUUCUUUAUUAAUCAAGCAUGUCAGGAAUUUGUUAGAAAACUAAAUAUGGUUGAAUACUUUUUCUGUAAGUAUUUUGACAGUUGUAAAGUACUAUAUCUUUCCUGUUUCAGUUUUAUGCACUAUUCCAAGAAUGUACCCAUUUCUACCUUACUAAGGCACGUAUAUUGUGUUCCACUGGAUUUUUUCAUAGAUACAUGUAUUUUAGACUUGUGCUAUCUAGUAUAGUAGCCAUGAGCCACAUGUAGCUAUUUAUGUUAAAAAAAUUUUUUUUUAAUGUUUGUUUAUUUUUGAGAGAGAGCGGGGGAGGGGUAGAGAGACGGGAGACAGAGGAUCUGAAGCAGGCUUUGUGCUAAGAGCAGAGCUUGAACUCAUGAACUGUGAGAUCAUGAUCUGAGCUGAAGUCAGACGCUUAACUGACUGAGCCAUCCAGACGCCCUAUUUGUUUAAAUUUAAAUUAAUUAAAAUAAACAUUGAUUUUCAUUUGCACUAGUCGCCUUUCAAGUGCUCAAUAGCUACAUGUGGUUAGUGGCUACCAUGUUGGACGACAUAGAUACAGAACAUUUUCAUCAUUGUGGAAGGUUCUAUUGUACAGUGCCAUUCUAGACAGUGCCGUUUUGCUUUUCAUUCUAAAAAGGUCUCAUUCCUGGAGAUGAUAUAAUUAUUCCUUCUAUGGCUAUCUCUGGUAUUAAGCAAAAAAAAUUUGAGAUAUUUUGAGGUGGGUUGCAUUUUACAUAUUCAUAGUUAUAAUCAGAUUACUUUUAAAAAUCAACUUUAUUGAAGUAUAAUUUAUGUGCAAUGAAAUGUAGUCACUUUUAAGUUUACAGUUCAGUGAGUUUUGACAUGUAUACACAUCCACGUAAACAGCACCAUAGCCAAGAUUUAGAACAUGCCCUUCUGCCAUCAGGUCCCCAAACCUGGUUCUAGGCAGUUUCUAAAUCUUAAUUGUAGUUAAGUUUUGCCUGUAUGGAUAUUUUAUAUAAAUGCAGUUACAUGGUAUGUACUUUUUUUGUAUCUGGCUUUUUUCUCUAAGCAUAAUUAUCUCAGUUGCUGCUUGCAUCAGUAAUUUGUUUCUUUUUAUUGCUGAGUAGUAUUCCAUUGUAUGGAUAGGGCAGGAUUACUUACCCAUUCACCUUUGAUGGACAUUUGGGUUGUUUUAAAUUUGGGUCUAUUAUGAACAAAGCUGCUAUGAGCAUCCAUGUCUAAGACUUUUGUGGACAUUUAUUUUCAUUUCUUUUGAUAAAAUAUCCAUGAGUAGAAUUGCUGGGUCAUAUAAUAUAGGUUAAUAAGUUAGUAAAAGAAAAAAAAAUAGAUGUGAGGUUAAUGUAGCAGAAUAGAAAUCAUAGGAAAACUGACACAUACAUUGUUAGACAAAGAUGCCAAGAUAAUUCAAUGGGGAGCGGAUACUCCUAUUAACCAACGCUUUGGAACAACUGAAUGUUGGUAUAAAAAAUAAAAUGAACCUUGACUAUUUGUCAUAUACACAAAAAUCUCAUACUACAUACAAAUGGAUUGUAGAUAGAAACAUAAAAGUAAAAUUUAAAGCUAUAAAAUAGGUAAAAACAGAGAAAAAAAUCUUUGUGACCUUUGGUUUAGUCAAAGAUUUCUUAGUGCACAGGAAGUUAAGCAUGAAAAAAAAUUCACAAAUUGGGCUUUAUCAACAUUAAAAAUUUCUGUUCUUUGAAAGGCACCAUUAACAAAAGAGAAUGAGUCUGGGAGAAAUACUUGCAGUGCAUAUACCUGACAAAGGACUUGAAUUCAAUACAAUAUAAAGAUGCUUUUACAAAUUUGUAAGAGGACAACUCCAUGAAGAAAAGGGCAUAAGAUUUGAACAUAAACUUUACACAGAAGAUAUGUAAAUGAUAAGUAAGUAUAUUAAAAUAUAUUCAAAAUCAAUCAUUAGGGAAAUGAGAAUUAAAAGAUAGUGAGGUGUGGUUUCAUAUUUACUGGGAUGGCUAAAACUUAAAGGGCUAAUUGGUUGGCAAGGAUAUAGAUCAACUGAAACUCUCAACCAUGUUGGUAAAAGUGCAGAGUGAUAACUUCUUUGAAGAAAUACGUGGCAGGUUUUUUUUUUUCUUUUUUUUUUUUUAAGCUUAAAUUUUAGUUAAUAUACAGUGCAAUAUUGAUUUCAGGAGUAGAAUUCAGUGAUUCAUCACUUACAUACAACACGCAGUGCUCAUCACAAGUGUCCUCCUUAGUACCCAUCACUCAUCUAGUCCAUCUCCCACCUCCCUACCUCCAUCAACCCUCAGUUUGUUCUCUGUAGUUAAGAGUCUCUUAAUAGUUUGCCUUUCUUCUCCACCCCUCCCCCCAUAUGUUCAUCUGUUUUGUUUUUUAAACUCCACAUAGGAGUGAAAUCAUGAUACUUGCCUUUCUCUGAUUGACUUAUUUUGCUUAGCGUAAUACAUUCUUGCUCCAUCCGCGUUGUUGCAAAUGGCAAAAUUUCAUUCUUUUUGAUAGUUGAGUAAUAGUCUUCUCUCCCUAUCUGUCUCUCUGACAUCUUUUUUUUUCCAUUCAUCAGUGGAUGGACAUUUGGGCUCUCUCUGUAGUUGGGCUAUUUAAUUCUGCUAUAAACAUUGGGGUGCAUGCUUCCCUUCAAAUCUGUAUUUUUAUAUCCUUUGGGUAAAUACCUAAUAGUGCAAUUGCUGGAUUGUAAGGUAGUUCUAUUUUUAGUUUUUCCAGGAAUUGCCACACUGUUCUCCAGAGUAGCUGCACUGGUUUACAUUCCCACCAAGCAGUGCAAAAGGGUUCCCCUUUCUCCACAGCCUCACCAACACCUGUUGAUUCUUGUGUUGUUAAUUUUAGCCAUUCUGACAGGUGUGAGGUGGUAUCUCAUUGUGGUUUUGAUUUGUAUUUCCCUGAUGAUGAGUGAUUUUGAGCAUUUUUUCAUGUGUCAAUUGACCAUCUGGAUGACUUCUUUGGAGAAGUGUCUAUUCAUGUCUUUUGCCCAUUUCUUCACUGGAUUAUUCGUUUUUUUGGGUGUUGAGUUUGGUAAGUUCGUUAUAGAUUUUGGAUACUAACUAUAUAUAUUAUUUUUAAUAGCCUUCUGAAUUUUCUCAAUGGGUUAUAGUUCACUUCCCCUACUGUUUCUUUUCCCUCUAGUUUUAUUUUCUUUAGUACUGGGGAUUAUUGUCUUUGAGCAUAGACCUUGACGUAAAGCUCUUAGUUUUGCUUCUCUGUUUACCUUGAGGUAAUUAAUAUAGGAAAAGGCAGUACUGUCCAGGCAAGUGUUAAGAGUGGAUUUUCAACAAGAUACUUUACUUGUAUUGGAUGUAUAAUUGAUUUUAGGUUUGACAACAUGAAGGUAAGUAGGAGAAAAUAGUUAAGGACUAGAAUGUUUGGAGCACGCCUGUGUUAAUGGGAUUAAGGCAGAGAUGACUUAUAUGUUGAAAAGGAAAAACAACAACUCAGUUUUUGUUUUCGUAGUAGCAGUGGCAGCUGUAGAUGAGUAGAGUUCUAAGAGCAAGUUUUAAUUUAACAUGAAUACAGCAGAAGUAAAUAUGAUGCCAAAUAGCUACAGAAAAAUAUAGCAGAUAAGUAAUUAUUUUGCUGUUUUUAGAUAUGCACUUUUCUUUUUUUUAAAUCUGUUUUUGGAUUAGUAGGGACUGUCCAGUGUUCUUAGGCUCUUUUCUGAAUGGGAUACCUUAAAAGAGGGUUUGCUUCUGGGUUUCUCUCCAAGUGCUAGGAGCAUUUGUUAUGAUUGUGGUUGUCUGUACUACAGUGUAUCUGUAGUAGAGCUUGUCACAUAGGAGGUACUCAAUAAAUAUUUCCAAGAUGAAUUUUUAUCAGUUCCCCAAGCAUUUGAAAAUGAAAUAAUGCUCUAAUAAUAUAAAAUUUAGUAUCAAUAUGUAUUGGUACCAAGCAGAGAUCUACCAAUUCAUCUUUAAGAAACAGAUUAACUCUCAGGUUUUACAAUAAGACUUGAAUUUAAUUCUCUAGAAUAUAGUCUACAUAAAGCCUGUCAACGGGUUGGUUAGCUGUUGAAACAUGGAAGAAACAUGGCUAAGGGAAAGGAAACUUUAGCCAAUGAACUUCAGAUAUUUUGGGCAAGACCAUUCCUGUUGUGGAGAUGGAAACAUCAGAAUGUCUUUGUUAGAAAUUGAUUUAACUAGCUUCUUUUGUUUGAUUCCAUGUUUACUCAGCAGCAGUAUAAUUUCACUUUUCAGUGCGUCUGCUUAUGGCAAGAUCUUGAACUGGCCAUAAAGAUGUGAAUAAUUUUGUUCCUGUGGCAGUUGGAUUUUUCAAGAAAAUUAAUAUAUUGCCAUUAUGGUCAUUAUGAUAUUUAUAUAUCAGUCGUAUGAUAUGAGUUUGAAUUUGUCCCUGAAAAAAACAAAAGCACCACUCAAUAUACUGACAGGAUCAGGGCUUACCCAGAAAGGUAGAAGAUCAGACCCUGGACCAUCACACUAAUAGUACUUCACCAAAGUAAUUAACAGAAUUUUUGAGGCCUAUAAAGAAAGCUUAUCUUGCAACCCAGAUUCUUUUCCCCCCUCUAUUGGAAUGAGUUUAGUGGCAUGGUCAAGUGUUUGGAGCAGCUAGAUAGAAUUUGGCAUUUGAUUUAUGUGAUCUUCUUUGCAGUUGAACAUUUUGUAUUCAUUUGCCUGUAGAGUGCUCUCCAGUUGGUAGAGCAAGUAUAUGUAAAUGUGUAUGUACUGUAUUUCAUAAAGAAAUAUUGUAAGGUCAAAUUUGAAGUUAUUUUAUGAUCACUGACUUUCUUAAUUGGAAUAUUUAGCCCAUUUAUAUGUAGUAUAAUUAUUGAAAUGUUUUGUUUACGUCUGUCAUUUUUCUAUUUGUGUUGAGUUGUCCAGUAUUCAUUUAUUCAUUCAUUUAUUCCUUCAUUCCUUCUCUCUCAUUCGCCUUUUCCUGUCCUUUCUGGAGUUAAUAGAAUAACUUUAGGUAUUUAAUUUUAAUUCUGUUGACUUUAGCUGUACUAAAUUUAUAUACUCAUACAUAUUUUAGAGAUUGCACACCAAGAAUUACAAAACACAUUCUUAGCUUACUAUAGUCCUCUUAGAGUUAGUAUUGUCAGCAUUAAAAUGUAAGAACCUUACAAAAGUAGAAUUCCUUAUCCUUCCAUUUCUUUUAUGUGGUUAUUGUCAUAUAUUUUAUAUCUAUGUAUGUAAUAAACCCCAGAAUACAGUGUUACUUGAUUGCUUUAAGCAGUUGUCUUUCAAAGCAAGGGAAGAAAAAGAUAUUCUUUUAUAAAUAUAAAUAUCUUUUAUAUGUACUCCCAUUAGUUCCCUUCAGCCUGAGGGCAACAGAUUUUCACUCAUCUUUUGUUGAUCAUUUUUGAGGGGCAUUUUGCCGGAUAUAGAAUUUGGAGCUGAGGUUUUUUGUUGUUGUUGUUGUUGUUGUUGUUGUUUUCCCCUUUCAGCACUUUAAAGAUGUCAUUUCAUGAGCUUUGAUAAGAAGUCAACCAUUAUUGAUAGUUCUCUGUUUUUUGUUUCUUUCCCUUUAUCGUUGGUUUUCACUGGUUUUGACUAAUAUGCAUAGUGGUUCUUUUUCUAUUUCUCCUACUAGAGGGUUAGUGAGCUUCUAUAAUCUGUAACUUGAUGUUUUACACCAUUGUUGGGGAAUUUCCAUCUGGGAUGUCUGUAAAAAAUGUUUUUCUGCUCCAUUCUCUUUUACCUGUCCUGAGACUCCAGUAACAUAUAUGAUAAAUUACUUUGUAUCGUUCCACGGGUCACUGAACUGUUCAUUUUUUCAAUUUCUUUUUUUCGUUCUUCAGAUUAGAUAAUUACUACUAAUCUGUUGUCAGGUUCAUUAAAUUUGUAUUCCAGUUAGCAUUUAUACAUAACAAACCACCUCUAAACAUAAAUACGACGUAGAACAUUUAUUUAUCUUCUACUCAUGCAUUCAGGGAGUCAGGAAUUCAGAUGAGGCAUGGUGGAGAUGGCUUGUUUCUGCCUCACAGUAUGUGGAGCUUUAGCCGUGAAGACUUGGUGACUAGAAAUGAGUUGACACAUUGGGGGCCCGAAUUAUCUGCAGGUGUUUUCACUGGCAUGUCUGGUAAAUGCUGGCUGUUAUCGGGUCUUCAGCUGAGCUGUUGGCCAACACCCCUUUACUUGACCUUUCCAAGUGGUCUCUCCGUGUAGGUUAGUUUGUGCUUCAUCGUAGUAUGUUUGUUAGCUUGGUGUCCAAAGUGAGGAUCCAGAGUCCAAGGUGAACGUAUGUGACAUGUUUAUGAUCUGGUCUUAGAAAUCACUCACUGUCACUUUUGCUACACUCUCUGAGUUCCAGCAGUCACAAAGCUGUGCCCAAGUUCUAGGGAGGAACCGCAGACUUUACCAGUUGAUGGGAGAAGUAUUAAAGGUACGUUAAUGAAGAGUGUGUGGGAUGGUGCUACAGUCACUCUUGGAAAUGCAGUCUGCCAUGUCUUUCUUCUGCAGUCUCUAGUCUUCUGUUAAGAGCACAGAGUAGAUUGUUCUUUCCAGAUACUGUACUUUUGAGACCUAGAAUUUCUGUCUUUUAUAGUUUCUGUAUCUUUGCUGAGACUUUUCAUCCUUUUACUUAUUGUAAUAACCUUCUUUUACAUUCACGUGUGUAUUUACAAUAGCUGCUUUGUAGUCCACCUCUGCUAAUUCCAACAUUUGGUUCAUCUUGGAGUUGGUUUCUAUUGACUGCUUUUUUCUCUUGGUCGCGGGUCAUGUUUUUCUGCUUUGCAUGUCUAAGAAAUUUUAAUUGUAUGCUGAAUGUUGCGAAUGAGAUGUUGUAGGGAGUCUGGAUUGCUACUUUCUUUAUGGGUGUUGAGUUUCACUUUGGCAGGCAUUUAAAUUAACGGUUAAUCUGGUAUUGUCAGCCUUGGUUUUCUUUGUUAAGGCAGGCCUAUUUCAGUUUUGUCUUUCAUCUUAGGGCAUGGUCCUCACUUCGAAGGUGUGGCCUUUCUGGGGUCUCAGCUGAAUACCUGAGGUGCUUACAUGAAGUCUCUCCGUUCUGGCUGGGCCAGAACUCUUUCUCCUGGUACCGUGCUGUCUCCGGUGUCCUCUCUACUAUGCUUUCAGACCCUGCGCACCUGCAGCCAACCUUUGGCCAAGGACCAGAGGUGCAUUUCCGUAUGGACUUCUGAGGCUCUCCCAUUCAUCCCCUUUUCUGUGCUACUCUGUUGCACAAACUUUAGCUGCCUUAGCACCCCUGAGCUUAAUCAGAUCUCUGCCUUUUACCUCGGUGAGAUCUUUGUUACAUUUGUUGUUUCUGCUUCAUCAGAAGAGACCCUCCCAGCUGAAAGCACGGUGGUUGUGGGAGUACUCUCCUGUUUUUCUGGAAGCCUCAGAAGCCUGUGCUGCCUUCUGUUUAGUGCCUCAAAUAGUCACCUCAUCCAUUUUGCCCAGUUUCACAUUUGCAUAUAGCAAGAGGAUGAUUUGUGUACCAGAUAUUCUGUAAUGGUCAAAAACGUAUACAUGCUACUGUAAGAAAAUUUUUAUUAGAUGACCCCUUUAUAUUGAAUGCCAAUAUGAAAAGAAGAUUCUUAGAACAAAAUUAUUUAAAGCAUGUAAUUUGGUUACAAUAACCUUGCUAUUAUAAAAUAAUUUAUAAUGUUCAAAUUUUGCUUUUUAUUGCAUUUUACCCAUAAAUUUGUAUUGACUUUCUCUAGAAAUGGCAGAUACAGUGAAAAUGUUUAUAUUAUUCUCUCUUCCCAACUACUGGUUAAACAUUGUUAAUCAGUAAUGAUAUUCUUUUCCAGUUUUCAACCUGGAUGUUUUUUUAUAGUCUUAAUAUUGCACCCCAACAGGCCGCCACCAGUUUGAUGCCUGUUUGCCAGUUCUAGCGUAUUUCCAUUUUACUAACCCAAUCAGUAUUAUUUUGUGGGAUAUUUAAUUUUAUGAAAGGUUACCCCAGUGGAUAAUUUUCUAGAACUAAGGUGAUUUAAAAAAAAAAAACAAAAAACUCAAAGGAAUCAUUCAGGCUAUUUAGUAA